UACGAAGGGUGCAAGCGUUACUCGGAAUUACUGGGCGUAAAGCGUGCGUAGGUGGUUUGUUAAGUCUGUUGUGAAAGCCCCGGGCUCAACCUGGGAAUGGCAAUGGAUACUGGCAAGCUAGAGUGCGGUAGAGGGUAGUGGAAUUCCUGGUGUAGCGGUGAAAUGCGUAGAUAUCAGGAGGAACACCGGUGGCGAAGGCGCACAUCUGGCCCGAUACUGACGCUGAGGCACGAAAGCGUGGGGAGCAAACAGG
rnacentral:rRNA from 1 species